rnacentral:rRNA from 1 species
GACGAACGCUGGCGGCGUGCUUAACACAUGCAAGUCGAACGGAAAGGCCCUGCUUUUGUGGGGUGCUCGAGUGGCGAACGGGUGAGUAACACGUGAGUAACCUGCCCUUGACUUUGGGAUAACUUCAGGAAACUGGGGCUAAUACCGGAUAGGAGCUCCUGCUGCAUGGUGGGGGUUGGAAAGUUUCGGCGGUUGGGGAUGGACUCGCGGCUUAUCAGCUUGUUGGUGGGGUAGUGGCUUACCAAGGCUUUGACGGGUAGCCGGCCUGAGAGGGUGACCGGCCGCAUUGGGACUGAGAUGAGGCCGAGAGUCGUAAGGGAGGGAGAAGGGGGGAAUAUUGCACGAGGGGCGGAAGGCUGAUGCAGCAACGCCGCGUGCGGGAUGACGGCCUUCGGGGUGUAGAACGCUUUCGCCUGUGACGAAGCGUGAGUGACGGUAAUGGGUAAAGAAGCACCGGCUAAAUACGUG